UACGUAGGGCGCAAGCGUUGUCCGGAAUUAUUGGGCGUAAAGAGCUCGUAGGCGGUUUGUCGCGUCUGCUGUGAAAACCUAAGGCUCAACCUUGGGCUUGCAGUGGGUACGGGCAGACUAGAGUGCGGUAGGGGUGACUGGAAUUCCUGGUGUAGCGGUGAAAUGCGUAGAUAUCUGGAGGAACACCGGUGGCGAAGGCGGCAUCCUGGACCGAAAUUGACGCUGAGGCGCGAAAGCCAGGGGAGCAAACGGG
rnacentral:rRNA from 1 species